UUAAAGUAGUAAGGGCGCAGGGUGGAUGCCUUGGCACUAAGAGCCGAUGAAAGACGUGAUAAGCUGCGAAAAGCUUCGGGGAGGAGCACAUAUCCAAUGAUCCGGAGAUAUCUGAAUGGGGAAACCCGGCAGAGGAAACCUCUGUCAGCGUGCAGUGAAUACAUAGCUGUACGUGGGGAACCCGGGGAACUGAAACAUCUAAGUACCCGGAGGAAGAGAAAGAAAAUUUAUCGAUUUCCAAAGUAGCGGCGAGCGAAAUGGAAAGAGCCCAAACCGUGAUGCGUGCAUCGCGGGGUUCGGACUGCGUUGUGGCAGACGUAAGAUAGGAGAACGGACUGGGAAGUCCGGCCGGAGAGAGUGAAAGCCUCGUAUCCGAAAUCCCAAGUCGCCUAGCAGGAUCCAGAGUAGGACGAGACACGAGAAACCUUGUCUGAACGAGCGGGGACCACCCCGUAAGGCUAAAUACUUCUUAGUGACCGAUAGCGCAUAGUACUGUGAAGGAAAGGUGAAAAGUACCCCGGGAGGGGAGUGAAAGAGAACCUGAAACCCUGUGUCUACAAGCUGUGGGACCUCUUUAUAUGAGGGACUGCGUACUUUUUGUAGAACGGUCCGGCGAGUUGUGCGUACUGGCGAGGUUAAGGACUUAAGGUCUGGAGCCGAAGUGAAAGCAAGCGUUAAUAGCGCGUCAAGUCAGUGAGUGCAGACCCGAAACCGGGUGACCUAUCCAUGUCCAGGUUGAAGCUUCCGUAAGAGGAAGUGGAGGACCGAACCCACAUCCGUUGAAAAGGGUGGGGAUGAGGUGUGGAUAGCGGAGAAAUUCCAAUCGAACCCGGAGAUAGCUGGUUCUCCUCGAAAUAGCUUUAGGGCUAGCCUCAUGAGAGUCUUAUGGAGGUAGAGCACUGAAUUGCCUAGGGGGCGUCAAAGCUUACCAAAGCAUAUCAAACUCCGAAUGCCAUCAAGAUGAUUCAUGGGAGUCAGACCAUACGAGAUAAGUUGGAUGGUCAAAAGGGAAAGAGCCCAGACCUACAGCUAAGGUCCCAAAGUGCGUGUUAAGUGGAAAAGGAUGUGGGGAUUCUAAGACAACUAGGACGUUGGCUUAGAAGCAGCCAUUCAUUGAAAGAGUGCGUAAUAGCUCACUAGUCGAGAGUCCCUGCGCCGAAAAUGUCCGGGGCUGAAACACGACACCGAAGCUUAGGAAUGUGUAAACAUUGGUAGAGGAGCAUUGUUAGCGGGAUGAAGCCAUACCGUAAGGAGUGGUGGACUGCUAGGAAGAGAGAAUGCCGGAAUGAGUAGCGAGAUGAAGGUGAGAAUCCUUCAGGCCGAAUAUCUAAGGUUUCCAGAGUAAAGCUGAUCUGCUCUGGGUAAGUCGGGACCUAAGGCGAGGUCGAAAGACGUAGUCGAUGGAUAACAGGUUGAAAUUCCUGUACUAUGAUAUGACAGAACUGUGGGGACACGUGUGGAAAGCGGAAGCCGGGAAUGGAAAGACCGGUGCAAGCAAGGUAGGAGACUGGUUGGCAAAUCCGCCAGUCAAUCUGAAGAUGUGAUGCGUACUGAAAUAUAAGUAAGGAAGUCCGUGAGCCAUGCGUCAAGAAAAGCCGCUAUUGUUCAUAUCGUACCCGUACCGUAAACCGACACAGGUGGAUGAGGAGAGAAUCCUAAGGCCGACGGGAGAAGCAUUGUUAAGGAACUCGGCAAAAUGACUCCGUAACUUCGGGAGAAGGAGUGCCAGUGAGAGCUGGCCGCAGAGAAUUGGCCCAAGCAACUGUUUAGCAAAAACACAGGUCUAUGCAAAACCGAAAGGUGAAGUAUAUGGGCUGACGCCUGCCCGGUGCUGGAAGGUUAAGGGGAGAGGUUAGCAGUAAUGCGAAGCUUUGAACUUAAGCCCCAGUAAACGGCGGCCGUAACUAUAACGGUCCUAAGGUAGCGAAAUUCCUUGUCGGGUAAGUUCC
rnacentral:rRNA from 1 species